AGUAAUGAAGUAAUAAUUACAUUUAGUUUCGACCUAAAAUUAGAGUUUACACUCCUUACUU
rnacentral:tRNA from 1 species